AAUUUCAUUGCUCCCGAAGCAGAGGCCAUUCUUAAUAUCCCUCUGAGGAUUGGUGGUGGACCUGACUCGGUUGCAUGGACCGAUGAAAAGUCUGGUAACUACUCUGUUAAAUCCGCGUACCGCUCUCUAAUGACACAGAAUGAGCAUGUUGCUCUUCAGGAAGGGACGGCUACAGAAUCUCUAGAGAAACAGAAGCAGUUGUGGACUAGACUUUGGAAGCUAAAAGUGGUGACAAGGGUGCGAGUGUUUUGGUGGCGAGUGCUGAGAGGAUUUUUGCCUACAGAAAGCUCCCUCAAGCACAAACACAUAGCAACGCUGGCUCAUGCAAAGUAUGUCUUGGUGCAGACGAGGAUUUGUACCAUGCACUAG
rnacentral:rRNA from 1 species